rnacentral:lncRNA from 1 species
UAUUCUUUUCCAAAUGAAAGAUUGGCAGCUAGAGAAUAUUGCCUGAACUUGAAAGAGUACACAGAUUACAUGUACACACAUUUCAUGGCCUAGGUAAAAUCUUGAUUAUAUUGCUAUCUUAUCCACUUUAUUCACUAUGCCUGUAUCAGUGGCAUGCAUGCUGUGAGAAAAAAAAAAAUCUCCACAGACUAGAACUGUGACCUGUUACAAGGAAUAGAUUGUUUUCUGGGUUUUUGAGAUGAAAUAUUUUGAGGAAAUUCUAUAACAUUAUUGACUGACCUUCUGUAGGACUACUGAAAAAUAUACUGCAAGAUCAAAACAACUUAAUUUUUAUAUUGAUUGAAGCUUUUAAUUCUUCAGAAUAAUUUGUCCUUUUAUAGUGAGUUGUGCUUUUCUUCUUGUCAGGGGUUUCAUAGGUUUACUAGUAAUGGUUGAAAAAAGUGUACAAAAAACCCUCAUAAAGUUGCAGCAAUUAUUUACAACAUAAAAUCUUCAGUGACUAUUUACAAAGCCUUCAGUUGUUCAAAUGUACACAUAGUGUAUUAUUUAUUAUUUCUUGUUGUUUCUAUUGUUGCUGCUCUGAGUGAUCAACCAUCCUCCUUACUACCACCUGACGGGCACAGCUGGAGGGUCCCUGAGAGCCUGGGGGCGUGUGGAGGGAGGCUGGAGGCCUGGGACUCCCGGUGGAGCAGGGGCAGCUCUGCGCACAGGCCUGUGGCUGCAGUCCGGGCUCGGUGAAAGCCAAGGUGCAGCGUGCAGGGAGGGCAAGUCCAUGGCUGCCCGGCUCAGAACCAUGCACCAACACAAGGAGCCCUCACUCCUGGCUAUGGGGCUGGGACUUGGACCUGGAGGGGUCCUAUGGUCCUCUGCAGACCUGACCCUGUCAUCCUCAGAGGUUUGA